rnacentral:misc_RNA from 1 species
AAAAUUCUCUAACUCCACAGAAAUGUGGCUUAGGGACCACAUUGCAAAGUAAAUGAAGUUCAAGGAAAAGUUUAGAUCUAUGCUUUGACCUUUUAGUUCAUUUCUUAUUGAAUUUCAUGCAAGUAUCCAAAGAAAUAAAGGUCAAAGAAGUGAGAGUUUCCUUGAGCUACAAAAUGUAUAACAAUGAAUAUUCAUAUUUAUAUGGUUCUUAAGUAGAUUUUCUAUGAUGAUAUAUAGAAAGUAUGUGAUAUAGUCUGGUUUGGUUUCUUCCAGUUACAGGAACUAUACCGCUCAAUAAUGUAAAUUGCACACAGACCACAGUUUAAAUUACUUGAGCAACUUCUGCUUCUUCUCUUGCCACUCAUUCAUUUCAGCUUUAAUCAUUGCUUGAACAUUUUCAUGAAACCCUGGAUAUGGUUCGUAACCAAAGAAUUCUUGAAGAGCCUCCAGUAGCACAAAGAAGGGAGCCAUUAUCAGGGCUUGAAUGAGAUUGUCCAAAAGUGCUGGUGCUCGUUUCUCAAAGACACCAUGGCCAAUGAACUGUCCAGCCCAACAAACAAUUUGAGCCACCAGAACAACCUUCCAAGCAAGAGAAAACCCAAGCCAGCUAGCCACAAAACUACUAGCCACCCAACAAAAAGCACAAAGCAGAGCAGCCAAGGAACCAGCUUUCGCAUCCAGACAGAUAUAAAACAAAGCAUAGAUCAAAGUAAACAAGAAACCAAAAUUGAAAAGCAGAAAAACAUCGUUACCAAACAGAGAGAACUUGAGGUUAAACAGAGAAGGGGUAAAGUAAAGAAUAAGAAGAGCAGUGAAAAAGAUUGGCCAAACAAAUAUCAUGUGAAUCGCUAUGUUGAUCGGAUUACUAUGGUAUGCACCAUAGAAGGCAAAAUGCUUCUCUAGAUCAAACAAUCCACAAUUUCCCAUUACAGAUUUUCCGGGGAAAAACAAUAAAAGAGAAAAAUUUUCCAGUAAAGUUGCUGGAUUUCCUUGAAAAAGUGGGUGCGUUUCGUUUGCUUCUAUGGAAAAGGGAUUACGAUAAAUGGUAGGAGAAAAAUCACGACAUAGGAAGACUCUAAAGUCACCGCAGAGACGCCAUGAAAUUGGAGACUCAAUAUAUCUUGAUGACUUCAC